rnacentral:rRNA from 1 species
AUUGAACGCUGGCGGCAGGCCUAACACAUGCAAGUCGAACGGUAACAGGAAGAAGCUUGCUUCUUUGCUGACGAGUGGCGGACGGGUGAGUAAUGUCUGGGAAACUGCCUGAUGGAGGGGGAUAACUACUGGAAACGGUAGCUAAUACCGCAUAACGUCGCAAGACCAAAGAGGGGGACCUUCGGGCCUCUUGCCAUCGGAUGUGCUCAGAUGGGAUUAGCUUGUUGGUGGGGUAACGGCUCACCAAGGCGACGAUCCCUAGCUGGUCUGAGAGGAUGACCAGCCACACUGGAACUGAGACACGGUCCAGACUCCUACGGGAGGCAGCAGUGGGGAAUAUUGCACAAUGGGCGCAAGCCUGAUGCAGCCAUGCCGCGUGUAUGAAGAAGGCCUUCGGGUUGUAAAGUACUUUCAGCGGGGAGGAAGGGAGUAAAGUUAAUACCUUUGCUCAUUGACGUUACCCGCAGAAGAAGCACCGGCUAACUCCGUG